CGCGUAGGCGGGAUGGCAAGUCGGUCGUGAAAUCCCUCGGCUCAACUGAGGAACGUCGAUCGAUACUGCUGUUCUUGAGGAUUGCAGAGGAGACUGGAAUUCCCGGUGUAGCGGUGAAAUGUGUAGAGAUCGGGAGGAACACCGGUGGCGAAGGCGGGUCUCUGGGCAAUUCCUGACGCUGAGGCGCGGAAGCGUGGGAGCAAACG
rnacentral:rRNA from 1 species